rnacentral:rRNA from 1 species
ACGGGUGAGUAACACGUGAGUAACCUGCCCUUGACUCUGGGAUAAGCCUGGGAAACUGGGUCUAAUACCGGAUAUGACCAUCUGACGCAUGUCAUGGUGGUGGAAAGCUUUUGUGGUUUUGGAUGGACUCGCGGCCUAUCAGCUUGUUGGUGGGGUAAUGGCCUACCAAGGCGACGACGGGUAGCCGGCCUGAGAGGGUGACCGGCCACACUGGGACUGAGACACGGCCCAGACUCCUACGGGAGGCAGCAGUGGGGAAUAUUGCACAAUGGGCGGAAGCCUGAUGCAGCGACGCCGCGUGAGGGAUGACGGCCUUCGGGUUGUAAACCUCUUUCAGUAGGGAAGAAGCGAAAGUGACGGUACCUGCAGAAGAAGCGCCGGCUAACUACGUGCCAGCAGCCGCGGUAAUACGUAGGGCGCAAGCGUUAUCCGGAAUUAUUGGGCGUAAAGAGCUCGUAGGCGGUUUGUCGCGUCUGCUGUGAAAGACCGGGGCUCAACUCCGGUUCUGCAGUGGGUACGGGCAGACUAGAGUGCAGUAGGGGAGACUGGAAUUCCUGGUGUAGCGGUGAAAUGCGCAGAUAUCAGGAGGAACACCGAUGGCGAAGGCAGGUCUCUGGGCUGUAACUGACGCUGAGGAGCGAAAGCAUGGGGAGCGAACAGGAUUAGAUACCCUGGUAGUCCAUGCCGUAAACGUUGGGCACUAGGUGUGGGGGACAUUCCACGUUUUCCGCGCCGUAGCUAACGCAUUAAGUGCCCCGCCUGGGGAGUACGGCCGCAAGGCUAAAACUCAAAGGAAUUGACGGGGGCCCGCACAAGCGGCGGAGCAUGCGGAUUAAUUCGAUGCAACGCGAAGAACCUUACCAAGGCUUGACAUGAACCGGAAAGACCUGGAAACAGGUGCCCCGCUUGCGGUCGGUUUACAGGUGGUGCAUGGUUGUCGUCAGCUCGUGUCGUGAGAUGUUGGGUUAAGUCCCGCAACGAGCGCAACCCUCGUUCUAUGUUGCCAGCGCGUUAUGGCGGGGACUCAUAGGAGACUGCCGGGGUCAACUCGGAGGAAGGUGGGGACGACGUCAAAUCAUCAUGCCCCUUAUGUCUUGGGCUUCACGCAUGCUACAAUGGCCGGUACAAAGGGUUGCGAUACUGUGAGGUGGAGCUAAUCCCAAAAAGCCGGUCUCAGUUCGGAUUGGGGUCUGCAACUCGACCCCAUGAAGUCGGAGUCGCUAGUAAUCGCAGAUCAGCAACGCUGCGGUGAAUACGUUCCCGGGCCUUGUACACACCGCCCGUCAAGUCACGAAA